rnacentral:rRNA from 1 species
UACGUAGGGUGCAAGCGUUAAUCGGAAUUACUGGGCGUAAAGCGUGCGCAGGCGGUUUUGUAAGUUUGUCGUGAAAUCCCCGGGCUCAACCUGGGAAUUGCGAUGGAGACUGCAAGGCUAGAAUCUGGCAGAGGGGGGUAGAAUUCCACGUGUAGCAGUGAAAUGCGUAGAGAUGUGGAGGAACACCGAUGGCGAAGGCAGCCCCCUGGGUCAAGAUUGACGCUCAUGCACGAAAGCGUGGGGAGCAAACCGG